AGCGAACGCUGGCGGCGUGCCUAAUACAUGCAAGUCGAACGAGAAAGUGUAGCAAUACAUUAGUAAAGUGGCAGACGGGUGAGUAAUACAUAGAUAAUCUACCUUCUUGAUGGGGAUAACCUUCCGAAAGGAGGGCUAAUACCGAAUGAGACCACAGUUUCUACGGAAGCAGGGGUCAAAGAUGGCCUCUACUUGUAAGCUAUCGCAAGAAGAUGAGUUUAUGCACCAUUAGCCUGUUGGUAGGGUAACGGCCUACCAAAGCUAUGAUGGUUAGCUGAUCUGAGAGGCUGAUCAGCCACACUGGAACUGGGACACGGGCCAGGCUCCUACGGGAGGCAGCAGUAGGGAAUAUUGCGCAAUGGAGGAAACUCUGACGCAGCGACGCCGCGUGGGUGAUGAAGGUUUUCGGAUCGUAAAGCCCUGUCGGAUGGGAAGAAACACGGAAUGGCUAAUAUCCAUUCCGCUUGACGGUACCAUUAAAGGAAGCACCGGCUAACUACGUGCCAGCCGCCGCAGUAA
rnacentral:rRNA from 1 species